rnacentral:tRNA from 1 species
GACCGCGUAGCUCAGUUGGCAGAGCAUAAUGGGCUAGUAUUCCAAAGGCCGUAGGUUCGAUUCCCACCGUGGUCA